CGCACAUUGCGCCCUUUGGUAUUCCGAAGGGCACAUCUGUUCGAGCGUCAUUACACCUAAUCAAGUUUAACUUGGUAAUUGAAUGGACAUACUUGUCUUGAAAUAUAGACACAUUCAAAAGAUAUCUAGCAGUACCUGAUAGGUCUCAAGCGUAACAAAUAAAAUCGUUUGUCAGACUUCAUUUGGAACUUGCAUUCUAACAUAUAUAUCAAAGGUUGACCUCGAAUCAGAUGGGGAUACCCGCUGAACUUAA
rnacentral:misc_RNA from 1 species